UACUUCAACACUACACCAGGAAUCAGACAUCAGCAUAAUAUCGUAAGUAAGACUUAUCUUUUCUCAUUUUGAGUUGUUUAGAAAUAAUCUAUCUCCUUAUCAGAUAAAACUAAGCUGUUUUUCUUUUUGUCAUUUUAAGCAUUUGGAAUAUGUUUCAAUAAGGCACUGACUGAUCAACCUAUGAGGAGAAUUCUGGAAAAGUUGUUGCUUCAAUGUUAAGGAGAUUAAAGAUUCAAAUCAUGUGACUUGUGUUAUGCACAUGCCUAGAUUUAUACAAAAGCGAAUUAAAGGGGCACUAGCUGUCAAAUUCGUGUUCCAUGAUUUGAAUCAAAUUCUCAUAUUUGAUUUAUAAUCAUGUAAAACAUUUAGCCUAAUUUCAAAAAGCCUAAACAUUUACAGGGCAUGGGUUCGAUAAUAUGUAGCUUCGUUUCGUGUGUAUUUUAGUCUUGAUCCCAUCUGAUUAACUAUCGAGUUGACCUCCAAUUAUCAUAUAAGCGAAAUAAACAUUAGUGACUUUGAACUAGCUGUCAGAUAACUUCGAGUACUCUCAGAUCUGUUCCUUGUGUCUUUUUGUUGUCGGGAUGUACAAGUACCCUGCCACGUCCAUCUGUAUGUUUGUCCAUCUGAUGAGUUAAGCCUUUUUCAACUAAUUUUUAUAGUUCGUUCUUAUGUUGUACUGUUAUACCACUGUCCCAGGUUAGGGGGAGGGUUGGGAUCCCGCUUACAUGUUUAACACCGCCACAUUAUUUAUGUAUGUGCCUGUCCCAAGUCAGCAGCCUUUAAUUCAGUGGUUGUUGUUUGUGUAUGUGUUACAUAUUUGUUUUUCGUUCAUUUUUGUAUGUAAGUAAGGCCGUUAGUUUUUCGUUUGAAUUGUUUUACAUUGUCAUAUUGGGGUCUUUUAUAGCUGACUAUUCGGUAUGGGCUUUGCUCAUAGUUGAAGGCUAUACGGUGACCUAUAGUUGUUAAUGUCUGUGUCAUUUUGGUCUCUUGUGGACAGUUGUCUCAUUGGCAAUCAUACCACAUCUUCUUUUUUAUAAUUAAUAUGUAUCUAACUCGUGCAAUGGAUUUUGUCUAGGUAUGUUUAAUUUCAUAUUUCAGAUUAAAAAUAUAUGUUUAUCAUCGUUUUUACCUGCAAAAGAAUGAUUCUUUGUGGAUCGAAUCAGUCUAUUAAAUGAUUAACCUUUGUUUCACUUUCAAUGUUGACAUUCUUGUCCUUUACAUAACCAAAUACGCACGAUUCAUGUGUUAUCCAUCUCUAGCCAAUGGGUUACAUUGAAGUUCACAUGAAUACGAAUUCAAUGCUCACGAAUUAUUCAAUUGCAAGUGAUUAAUUCGUCAUCAAUAUGUUUCUUAUUUAAUUUGACAAAAUUAUGACAUACUGGCUGUUAAAAACGAAUUAUUAUUUCACUAUUUCACUUUCAAUCAUGAUUGAACAAAAAAAAUCCUACUUCAAUUUUUUUAUAUAUCGCGUAUCUAAUGCCCAUUUUAGAAAAUAUAUCAAUUUACAUAUAAUUCCCCUUAAAAUUUGGAUUUAUUUCAAGAUUAAAGUUGAUUAUUUCAAGAUAAACGCUGAUAAUUCAAUUAAUAAAAGUUGAUAAUUCAAAGAUUAAAGUCGACAAUUUGAAAAACAAAUAAUAAAAAAAGGAUGGCCCAAAUACGCUUCCGGUAGUAUCCAUACUUAAUUGCGCACAUGAACACAUUUGAUAAGCGAAAAUUAGUUGAUAUGUUAAAAAAUUUGAGUUAACCAAAAAGUAUCAAACAAUUGAAAAAAGAGGUUAAUGCCCAAAGCACCUGGGUUUUUUUCUGCUGUUAAAAAAGAUUUGGAGUGCAUUUCUUUCUAACACAAACUAUGCAAACGGCUAAGCGCGCACAUGUUUUGAUCAUUUCUUUCAAACAUACGUUUGCAAAGUUUGCAUAAACUUUGACAAACUAUGCAAACGAUAAAAAUGCGACUGCAGUUUGUCGUUUGUCGUUUGUCGUUUGUUAGUACAAACGCUACCUUUAUUUCUUACUUCAACCUGGUUAAAUGAAGUAUUUGUUUCUACGUUUGUAAACAGUCUGUUUACCAACAACAUGUGAAUGCCUUAUUGAAAGUUCAAACAGGGUCAGUAAAGACUUAUUAAACGAUGUAUGUGUUUCUACUUUUGUAGCGUUUAGAAAACAACAACAAACGCGACACAACGUUUACAAAAGUUGGGUUAGAAAGAAAUGCAGCCUUGGAAUAUGAAAUUCAAGAAAACAGAUAUGAUCAGAUUAUAGAGAGUGCAUUUCUUUCUAACACAAACGAUGCAAACGGCUGAGCGUGCACAUGUUUUGAUCAUUUCUUUCAAACAUACGUUUGCAAAGUUUACAUAAACUUUGACAAACUAUGCACACGCUUAAAAUGCGUCUGCAGUUUGUCGUUUGUUAGUACAAACGCUACAUUUGUUUGUAACUUCAACCUGAUUAAAUGAUGUAUUUUUUUCUGCGUUUGUAAAAAGACUGUUUACCAACAACAUGUGCAUUCAUUAUUGAAAGUUCAAACAGAAUCAGUAAAGACUUAUUAAACGAUGUAUUUGUUUCAACUUUUGUAGCGUUUAGAAAACAACAACAAACGCGACACAACGUUUACAAAAUUUUGGUUAGAAAGAAAUGCACUCAGAAUCAUCUGUUUAUAUGUCGUGUAUAUUUUAUUAUUUUGUACAGGUUAUUACUUGUACAAAAACUUUGUAUGAGUUAUUACUUGUAUGAUGCCAUCAUACAAGUUAUUACCUGUACAAAUAUAAUUGUACUAGUAAUUAUUUGUACAUUUUUUAUUGAGAAAAAGAUAAUAAAUUGUACAACACAAUAUCUUUGACUUGUAUGUUCUUCUACUUUUGCUUUAAACAAAAUGUUUCAUUGAAAAACACCUUUCUUUGAGUUAGUAAGUCUGGGAUUGUUUUCUCAAUUGUCGGGUAUUAUUUUUCUUUAACUGUUUUCUCGUAUUUAUUUAUCUGUUUGUUUAUUUUUGUCACGCCUUCGUUUUUAGUAAAAACAACGAGACAUAGCGAUCCUACAUAACGACGGCGUCGUUGUCGUCAUUGACGGCGGCGUCCACAAAUAUUCACUCUGUGGUUAAAAAAUUUGAAUUUUUUUAAAAUAACUUUCUUAAACCAUCCUGGAUUUCUACCAAACUUGUUUAUGAUCAUAAGGUAAUAUCCUUAAGUAAAUUUGUUAAAAAAAAAAAAAAUCAUAUUUUACUUAUAAAUGGACUUAAUUUUCUUUUGCCAGGAAACAAUACAUUCACUCUGUGGUUAAACUUUUUAAAAUUCUAAUAACUUUCUUAAACUAUCCUGGAUUUUUACCAAACUUUGACAGUAUCUUCUUGCAUACAUGUUCCAUUUUGGGGGCUUUUAAAGCUGGCUAUGUGGUAUAGGCUUUGCUCAUUGUUGAAGGUCGUGUGGUGAUCUACGGUUUUUAAUUUCUGUGUCAUUUUGUUUCUAGCGGAGAGUAACUGUUGUCUAAUUGGCACUUAUAUCACAUUUUCUUUUUUACAUUAGCAUUAUUUUUGAAAUGGUAAUUAAACGAGAAGACCUCAUUUUGUGUGUCGCUUCUCUUCCUUCCACAAUAAAUCAAUCAUUAUGCCUCUGUGUCCUAUGGGUAACAUGCAUAGUCGAAUUUCUCUUCCAUUCUUAUGAUUAUUCAGAUAAAGUUAUUUUGGGAGAAAAACGACAAAAAAGGUGUCCGGAUGUGAUUCCGUCAUCGGACUGACUUUUAGUUACAGAUAAGACUUUCGGUUUGAAACAUGCACAAAUACAACCAAUCGUUCAGUAAGUGGUCAGAAAAAUGGCUAGUUAUUUUUGAAAUGGUAAAAGAAUUUAGACACACGCAGAACACAGUGUAACAACAUCACAUACAUGUAGCAUGAGACAUUGAGCAAAUUAAGCUUAACAGCUUAUUGCUGCUUCGAUACUGACUACUAGUGCAAAGUGACAAAGUCGUUAAAAGCAAAAAUAAAAUAAACCCUUCUACAAUUUAUUUUCAAAAAUAAAUCAUGAUAAAAAGUUACAUAUUAUGUUAUAUCAUAUAUUGGAAUUAAAGGUUAAACCUAUAUAGACCAAUGUAGAAGCACAUACAACUCAAAUAUAAUGUGUUGUACAAGUUAUUAUAUUUUUCUCAUCAGAAAUUGUACAAGUAAUUACUGGUACAAUUAUAUUUGUACAGGAAAUAACUUGUAUGAUGGCAUCAUACAAGUAAUAACUCAUACAAAGUUUUUGUACAAGUAAUAACCUGUACAAAAUAAUAAAAUGUACACGACAUAUAUAUAAUUCAUGAAUUUUAUAUUUUUAGAAAAAUGGCACAAAGAUUGAUCGUCGCUCUUAUCUUUCUCCAGAUGAUCGUAGCAAUAUCAGCAACGUGCCAAUCGAAUUGUGGUCGUUCAUUUCAGAGAAAUUUUAACAAUUGUUUGUCACGAGGAAUUAUGGCUACGAAAUGUAGGGAGGAAAUAACGGAUGCGGUCGUUCAUUGUUUCAGAUUAUGUGACUUUAAACAAGGCUGAUCAUUUCCAUUCCGAAGAUAUGCAGACGUCAAGAGGCAUUAUAUGGACACAAAAUAUCGUUUUAUCUCGUUAUGGGAUGCAUUAACUAAUUUUGGAGAUUAUCUCAAAAUCUUGUUGAAUUUUGAUCAGAUUUCAUAAACGAUUUUAUUUUGGUGCGACAAUUAAUAAUGCUGUUAUUAUGAUACCUAGAUAUGUUUUAAAAUAUAUUUUCUUCAAUAAAAUGUUCCGUUUA
rnacentral:lncRNA from 1 species